AUGUCAAGGUCAGGGCAUUUCCUGAACAAAUUUUUUAACCUCUUCCAUGCCUCAAAAUAGCUCUUGAAAUCUUCUGCUUGAAAGUGUGGACUUCAUUCCUGAUUU
rnacentral:snoRNA from 1 species